rnacentral:rRNA from 1 species
GACGAACGCUGGCGGCGUGCUUAACACAUGCAAGUCGAACGGAAAGGCCCUGCUUUUGCGGGGUGCUCGAGUGGCGAACGGGUGAGUAACACGUGAGUAACCUGCCCUUGACUUUGGGAUAACUUCAGGAAACUGGGGCUAAUACCGGAUAGGAGCUCCUGCUGCAUGGUGGGGGUUGGAAAGUUUCGGCGGUUGGGGCUGGACUCGCGGCUUAUCAGCUUGUUGGUGGGGUAGUGGCUUACCAAGGCUUUGACGGGUAGCCGGCCUGAGAGGGUGACCGGCCACAUUGGGACUGAGAUACGGCGCAGACGCCUACGGGAGGCAGCAGGGGGGAAUAUUGCACAGUGGGGGGGAGCCUGAUACGGCAACGCCGCGUGCGGGAUGCCGGCCUUCGGGUUGUAAACCGCUUUCGCCUGUGACGAAGCGUGAGUGACGGUAAUGGGUAAAGAAGCACCGGCUAACUACGUG